rnacentral:lncRNA from 1 species
UAGUUUUGAAAGAUCUUUCGCUUAAGAGGUGUUUCUGUAAGUAUAAAAAUCGUAAUUAUGUUAUUUCUAUAUAGAAUAUUUUAAUUCUAGAAGCUAAAAUCAAACAUCAAAUAUAUGAUACAUACCUUUUAAUAUUACUCAGAGGGCUAUAUCUGAUCUACAAGCGUACAUCAGCGAUGUCAAUAUGCAUAAAAGACUAAAUUUGCCUUCUCUUUUAUCUUAUCAUCCACAAGUUUGUUACGAGCGAUGAAUUAGAGACAAAGAAGAAAUGAAAGAAAAUAUGUAAUAUCUAAAAUAACUGAUUAGGUUUUUUGGGUUGUUUCAUCCUUACGAGAUCGUAUCAUUUUAUAGGCGAGAGAAAAUAGUCUAAAAAAAAUAAUUAGUAGAGUCAUUCUCAUUAAAAUCAUCUCAUAAGAAAUUUUAUUAUAAUCAGAAUAUAAUCAUCUCUAUAACAUAUUUUACAUAAUUAAAUAAAAUCAUAUAAUCUAAUAAUUUUAGCUAGGAAGAGGAUGAGACACAAAGAAGGACUCAACUUGAUCGUUAUACGAGGAUGCUCAAUUUGAUCGUUACAAAAUGAUACUAGCAAAACUAGGUUUUUGGAACAUGGUUGAUGAAUUCUUCAUCGAUCAAUCCACAAAUUGCUAUGAAUACAAUUUUUUUUUCUUCUUCUUACUAAAAUGGAUCUAAAUUAGCACAGUGAAAAAACAAAAGUUCCACAGUUCCCACCUGUCACUCAACUAGUCUCAAUGCUUCCUAUCCUCUUUUCUGUUUGACACAUGUUAUUGUCGUAAGUGUGGUGGCCUCUAAGAUUGAGUUAGAACAAUCAUGUCUUGAAGAUGAAAUAUGAUUGCAUGUUUUAGAUCCAUUAAGGCGAAUAUAUGCCAUAAGCCACUCGCUGUCGCCUUUGCGUCCUCUGCGUGCUGUUUGAAUUCUCCUUGGGAAAGCGUCCCUUAUCAACACACUGUGGAGGAGACAAGGAAAAGACGAGAAGUGGCUUAGGAUGGGGAGAGUCUCUUCCUCCCAGACGAGACCACCAAAUAAGAACAGUUUGGUUUCCACAUGGUAGCGUGUCCCGAUGAACCCAUUUAUAGCCUUACAUCCAUUAUCCGCAGAAAGCACUUAUGGCCACUCAUGAUGCCCUCAAGUACACAAAGGAAAGCAGCACAUUCAUUCACCCUCUGAUUCCAUGGAUGCCAUGCGUCACGAUAGAGGAAGAACUUGGAGCUUAAAAGAUGGCAGUUUGUCUUUGGCACAGGAACCUAUCUCACUCGUGAAGCUUAGAGCUAAGUUGGAUUGUGAGGUUGGUAAAAGUCAACUUGAUUGAGUGUAGGAGAAGCCUUUAUAUCAUUGCAGCAAAAAUGGUGUCAUAAUGGGGUGCUUAAAGCUUCUCGAUCCUAUGUUUACAUGCUUUCUGCUACAGCUCUCCAUCCAGUCCACCAAAUUAUGAUGUGUUCUUCGGAUCUUACAGAAGCUAUCAUGGCCUCUCAUACUAUAUUGCUUCUACCAGACCUGAGGCUGACCUAUUUUUUGGUUUUACCUUUGUUUUUUGUUUUUGGACUUGUGAUGAUUGAGAAAUCUUGGAGAUAAUAGUUCCUCAAUAGGAUUCAUUCCUGUUAUGUUUGACUUUUAAUUACUAAAAUUGUUGAUACAACAACAGGAGUAGAAAUUACUAGAGUCAACCCCACUGACUACUUGACCCAACAAAAGCUCAAGUCAUCACCAAAAAGGCCACAGCAACACUCACAGGGGUUGAUGUCCAAACUCCACAAAAAGCUCAGGACAGGUUCAUCUGUGCUUUGGUCUUCAAAGAAAAAGCUAAUGGCACCACUGAGAGUGACACAGUAAACCCAGCGAGGGUUGGUGUCUCGACUCCACUGAGGCCAAGAGAGGAAAGAUGCCAUUUGCAAUCACAAGCUGGAAGACACUACCACCACCAUGGCUCUGCUAAGAUAACAAGAGCUCAUGGUCAGUGGCCACACAACCUUUGACGAGAAGGAAGGUAUCAACGGGGCAGUGGCCUCGUGAUUGGGGCAGAGUUGUUCUCUGCAGGAGUAUCUGCAUCAAUUCAUGUGCACAUGUGUUUUGUGGUGGACAUGGUGGAAUGGAUUGACAGAAUGAUUGAUCUGAACACAUGGAUGUAUGUACAUGUAUGAAGAUGGUGAAAUAUGUGUGUGUGUAUAUAUAUAAUUGGGAAAAGGAAGGUGGAAAUGGAACUGUAUUCCCAGCCAUGGGGAUUGGUGAGAUCUUUAGGUGAGGCAUCUGUUUGGAUUUUGGAGGAGAAAAAGGGAACAGCACUUUUGAGUUAUCUAUAGAUUUGUUAUAUGCUGGCAUCUGUCUUGCAAUCUUGGCUGGUUUUGACUUGGGAUUAUUCCAUUACUUAGAGUCUUAUAUAUAUUUGUUGCAUG